GUAGUCAGUGAUGAUUUUGUUCUGAAGUUUGCUUGAUUUCAUCCUGAAAUAUGAAGGCAACUUUAGUCACUACCUCUUCUGAGACAC
rnacentral:snoRNA from 1 species